UUAAGUAGGUCACCUGUCCUAGAUUUAAUCUAGACACGAAUUGAAUUGCGUGUACGAUGUUUAUUAAACAAUUUGCCGGACGAUUAUAUUAUUGUUAGUAUUUUUAUUUCUAUAUUUCGUUGUAGCGAACAGGAAAUGACUACUAAUCGUCUUCUCCGAACUAUUUUUGAAUAUUAUUUAUUGGUGUAAUAUUCAAAUAAUGUACUACAGAUAUUUCAAACAAAAUGUGAAAGAAAUAACCAAUAGAACCCGUAGAAAAAUUCUCGAAACUAUUUACAAUGAAAGUAUACGUUAAUUAAUUUUUGAUUUCGCAGUAGAAAAAUAAAACAAAGCGUCUUCUAAAACCACUUUAAUCUAACAGCGUUUCAUGUAAUUAAUUGUUUGUCAUGAUGCUUUAUAUUCGAUUUAUAAUUCUUGAUUUAUUUAAUGGAUAAUGAAGUAAAUGAGGAAUCAAUACCAAUGAAUAAACUAACAAUGUACUUGUAUAUCCUGGAAAAUAUAAUACACAAUAAUUAAGCUAAUUAGCAUCGAGUACCUGUCAUAUUAGUUUCCAUGUUAAUUUUAUACUAAAAAUAACUAAAGUGUGUUAACGAAACAUUUGUACUUUGGAGCUGUCGUAAAAAAAUGAUUACAAUUUAGUAGAAUUUGUUCACGUAGAAACAUGUUACAGGGUGUUUAUAAAGUAAUCUGAUACGGUAUUCGAUUGUAAGACGAAAAAUUCUUAUAAACGGUUCGAUAAGUCCUUUCAAUAUUGAGGUGUUGGAUUAUUUUUUAUAAACAAACAUUCUUAUAGACAAUAUGUUUGUCCUUGGUGACGUUUUCAAAAGGAAUAAAAUGAAAAUACGUGGCUUUUGAGAUAUUAAUUCUAAUUACCGUAUGAUUUAUGAAAAAUAACUCAAACAAAAACUUUUUUAUGACACUUAUUUCGGUAUAGAGCCAACAUUGAUCACGAGACAAAAAAGGAUAUUUGCCAUUACAAAAAUCGUAUUCACGUUCGUCAGAUUUUGUAGUUUAAUUUGUAUGUUGAGAGAACGUUUAUGAAACUUUCAUUCAUUAUUUGCAGUUUUACGAAAAAUCCGUUCACAAACUUCAUGAAAAUGUACCAAGUUUCAUCAUUAUUCUAUCCUAUAAAACCACGAGAUUGCCGAUACUUCAAACCGCAAAACAUUAUUAUAUUGGUACAAAAUUCUAUAUUUUCCGUUCAUUGACUCUUGAACUCUUAAGAUGUGAAUAAAUUCGCAAUCAGGUUAUCGAUUGAUAAACAAUACACAUAUUGGAAAAAUAUAUGAUAAUAAAAAAAUUUUAUCAUUUGAUUUUAGAAAACGAAAGUAUGUCUCUUGUAAAUCCGUAUCAAAUCCAAUGUCUCCCGCACAUAAAUAAUCUUUACAUGAUAAUAAUUUUAACUCGCUUAACAGCAGCAAGAGAAUAUAAUUUUUAGGUCUUCGUGUAUAUAUUCUCGAUUGCAAAAUAUGCAAAUUUAAUUAUUAAACGUGAAAUUAUACUCCGUUGAAAGUUUCGAAACAAAUCUGUCAAUGUCAAAUAUUAAAGACUGUCACUCAUUGACAGACAUGCGAGUGGGUGCGUUCUCAAAAUAUAGCCUUUUUUCGCGUCAUCGAACUAUUAGAUUACUUUUGAUCAUUUUGAGAAAACUAUAGAUAUAAUCUAAAUUUGUAUAGACUCGAUAUUGGUAUUAUUGAUUUAUAUUCAGAAAUAACAAAUUUAUGAAAAAAUAUUAAAAGACAAAGACUUUCUUGAUAUGGGUAGUGGACAAAAGUGGAAUCAUUUAUUAUUAAAUUGUCUCAUAUUUACUUUCUGCGAUGAAGUUUUUAAAAAAUAUCGACCCGAAUAUUUCUUGUAAAAGAAGUUGGCAACCCUAUGUACGCGCCCUAAAAAAAAGACCAUCAAAAUGAUAGUGUUGUCAGUGUAUAUAAUAAAAAUCGAUAAGAAAAACUAACCGAUUGCUCGAGGAAAUUAAUAUUUGAAAUAAUGGAUUUGUACCAAAUUAUAGCUUCGUAAGUUAAUAUUAUACAAACAACUCAUUCUGCACUUCCAGGAUCCAUUGGUUGUUGUAACUUUUUCUUUCCAUGAUGCCAUUUUCAUAUUUUGUAAUGCCAAACAACUGGAGGAACACUGAGGGGAUCAGAACUUUUUAGAUUAGAUUCAGAUUAAAAAGUUAUUGUAAUCAAACUGACAAAACUGUUAUUAUUUUGCUUUAACUGAAAGUAGAAUUUAUGUAUUUCUCCAAUUUUGGUACUUACAUGCUUACUGCCGUACUAUAAAUACCCAACAAUCUGAACACAACAUUCAUAAAGUUUUUCCAAGAUAACAUGGAAAUUGACAAAUAAAAAUAAAACACUAUUAACUAAAAUCCAGUUGACCACCCGUCCUCAGCUACAUGACAACGGCAACUGUGACUGCCCGAUAAUACAAAUUAAUUAUCUACUUUACAACAAAAUGUAAUUGAUGUCACUUGUAGUGCUAGGAAGUAAUCGAAUAUAUUAAUGAUAGUCUAGAUGAUUAUAAUUGUUUUUUAAACGUCACCGUUGUUUUUUAAUUUUUUUUCUCGUACUAAACUUUGGAGUUGUAGCCGAAUAAAAAUAGAAGCGGCGCGUUCCGACGCAAACUCAAUUAAAUUUUUUGUAUUAAUGAUAAUUUUAGAGCUGCGGUGACGUUAACUGAAUAAUAAAAAAUCGACGACACGCGUAAAAUAUUCAGGAAAUAAAAUAACAUGUUUAGUUAUCUAAUAUCGAUUCCUAGUAUACCGGGCGACCUAAACAUAUUUGAGUAUCUCUUACAACAAGAAGUUCGAUCGAUUUUUAUGAAUGAAUUAUAUUGAAUAUCAGUUUGAAUGCUUAUUUAUACCGAAAACAAAAUAUUUAAGGUUAUAAUUCAAACUAAAUUUUGUGAAGUAGUUAAUAAAACCAAAAAUUAAUGAUUGUAUAUAAAAUUCAAUAUCGAUAAACUUUUUUUUGUAUUUGUAUUAAGGAUUUUUAGUGGGUUCGGUUCUUAAAGUUAUAUAUAAAUGACAUUGUAUUUAAUAAAUGCAUAAUUUAAGUAGAUGCUUCCGAAUCUGUCAGCAGAAGGAGACUUAUCCUUGACAUCAAUCCCAAGUUUCACUUCGUAAUUUUAUUAUUAUGCAAUGCGACUGAUUUAAUUCAUAUUUAACGAUUCCCGAUACAAAAUUUAUUAAAACAAAAUUCGUUCGUACUUAUUGAGAUGAAAUCAAAAAUGUUUAUUGGACGUUUUUUGAUUGAUUAUUUGGAAUUUUGUCCGUCCACUUCGGUAUAUACAAACUUAUCUUUGUAAAACGCCAAAAUUUAAUGAUUAAAGUACAAAGUUUCGAAAAAAAACUUUAUCUAUAGACACUCGAUGUAACAAUCAAUCAAAUAUAUAACAAAUUUUGAAAAAACUACUCCAAAUUUGUAUAAAUUUUAUCAAUAAUUUGAGAUUCACUCGAUAUAUCGAAUAUUUUAUUUUCCGUUAUUUUUUAUUGUUAACAACGAAUUUAAAAUCAACUAUUUUUGCGGGAUUUUUUUUCGAAAAACGAUAAACCGAGAUGGUAACGAAUGAUUUGAUGACGUCAAAACUAAAAAACUUGAUAAAUUUCAAUAUUAGUCACAGUUAUAUUGAAUUUUGAAUAUAUUUUUCUAAUUAGGAGUGACGCACGGGGAAAACCUGACGAUUUGAGUAAAAACACGUUUUUCGUUAACGAAAAGUUUGUGAAUAGAAACAAAUUUAAUAUAAACUACUAUCGAAUUAACGAUUCUAUUUGAACGUAUGUUUAAAAUGUACAAUUUAUACUAAAAACUAGAAAAAUAUUAAUUCGUAAUAAAUUACCGAAAUUCCCGAACGAAUAUAAACCAAUAAUAAAAAUUGAAAUGUUGUUUUUUUGGGUCAAGUGCGUUUACUCAUAUUUCAAAGUGUUUUUAUGAAUUAUUCAACAUUUUAUUGACCAAAAAUUUGUAUCGACGAGAUCGACUUUCGAAAAUUACUGUGAAAUUGGUCGUAGGACAGUUUCUCGUUUGUUUUUUGAAUUUGUGGCUACAAUUUUAAAUUUUUUAUUCAUACUCACCGAUUCGUAAAAGAUGAAAUAGUCAACAGAACAAUACACGGUCAAAUAACUUUUAAAUCCAAAGUAGUACGUAGGUAAUUUUUGAAAUAACCAAAAAACCGCUUCAUUUCUACAUAAAUAUGUCUCUUCGAUAUUGCAUUUUUUAAAAAUACCUACAUAAUAAUUAAUAAAUCAGAAUAACAUUGAUUAGAGAUUAAAAAAAAAUGUUUGUUAUUAAUUUGUUAUUGUAAAUAACGUGUUAAGUAAACAAACCGUUGCGUCAUUAUUUUUCUUUGGCGGACGAAAAUUGAUUUAAUCGGUGGAUAUUUUACAAAAAAAUUGUUUCACUUGAAAUUUAAUGUAUUUUUAACGUACCAGAUUUAAAUGGAACAAAAAAAUUCGUGGUGAUACGUGGUAGGUACUGCAGUUUGAUCAAAAUUUAAUUAACAAUUAUCAGAAAAUAUAAUUUCCAUUAAAUUUAUAAAUAAAAAUCGUCGUAAUGACUUCUGUAUUAAUGGUAAUUAUUUAUUGAAUGAUGAAUGGGAAAAGUGUAAAUAACCUUGUGCAUUUUUUUUAAUGAAUACUAUUACAAUUACUGGUAGUAAUAAUUUGCAUUACAAAUCAUUCGUUCGAUAUUUUUUUUUUAUUUGUUCGAAGCAACCAAAACUGCGAAAGAAGAAAAAAUUAUGUCGUCGAUUAUUAGAAUUUUCCAAAUUCUAAUUUAGCAACGGGUGUCUAUCCAUAGAACAGCUGUUGUAUUAUAUACAGUGUGUCCACGUAAUUCGUCUGCAUAUGGGACAUAACUUUUUUAUUAUUAAUUUUACGAAAAAAAGUUAUUCUUUAUAAAAAGUUCUAACUGGUCCAAAACCUAAUAAUCAAUCAUCAGAUGUUAAAGUUUUCAAGUCGUAUACGAGGUUUGUCGAAAAAUGUGAGUAUUGCUCAAUAUCGAAAAUUGUUAUAAAGAAAA